CCAGACUCCUACGGGAGGCAGCAGUGAGGAAUAUUGGUCAAUGGCCGCAGGGCUGAACCAGCCAAGUCGCGUGAGGGAUGACGGUCCUAUGGAUUGUAAACCUCUUUUGUCAGGGAGCAAAGGGCGCCACGUGUGGCGUUUUGCGAGCACCUGAAGAAAAAGCAUCGGCUAACUCCGUGCCAGCAGCCGCGGUAAUACGGAGGAUGCGAGCGUUAUCCGGAUUUAUUGGGUUUAAAGGGUGCGCAGGCGGAAUGUCAAGUCAGCGGUAAAAUUUCGGGGCUCAACCCCGUCGUGCCGUUGAAACUGGCGGGCUGGAGUUGGAGAGAAGUACGCGGAAUGCGCGGUGUAGCGGUGAAAUGCUUAGAUAUCGCGCAGAACCCCGAUUGCGAAGGCAGCGUACCGGCUCCACACUGACGCUGAGGCACGAAAGCGUGGGUAUCGAACAGGAUUAGAUACCCCCGUA
rnacentral:rRNA from 1 species